GGCCGUAGUUCAGUGGUAGAGCAUCUGCUUUGCAUGCAGAAGUUCUCAGGUUCAAUCUUUGGUGGCAUCU